GGAGGGUACAGCUCAGUGGCAGAGCACAUGCCUAGGAAGCCCUGAGGUCCUGGGUUCAAUCCCCAGCACCUCCA
rnacentral:tRNA from 1 species